UGAGGAAUAUUGGUCAAUGGGCGAGAGCCUGAACCAGCCAAAUCGCGUGAAGGAAGACUGCCUUAUGGGUUGUAAACUUCUUUUAUACAGGAAUAAAAAAGGGGACGUGUCCCUUAUUGCAUGUACUGUAUGAAUAAGCAUCGGCUAACUCCGUGCCAGCAGCCGCGGUAAUACGGAGGAUGCGAGCGUUAUCCGGAUUUAUUGGGUUUAAAGGGUGCGCAGGCGGGCUUUUAAGUCAGCGGUGAAAUCUCGGGGCUUAACUCCGAAACUGCCGUUGAAACUGGGAGUCUUGAGUAUGGAUGAAGUAGGCGGAAUUCGUUGUGUAGCGGUGACAUGCUUAGAUAUAACGAGGAACUCCGAUUGCGUAGGCAGCUUACUAAGCCAUAACUGACGCUCAAGCACGAAAGCGUGGGGAUCAAACAGGAUUAGAUACCCUGGUAGUCCACGCCGUAAACGAUGAUUACUAGUUGUAUGCGAUAUACCGUAUGUGACUAAGCGAAAGCGAUAAGUAAUCCACCUGGGGAGUACGCCGGCAACGGUGAAACUCAAAGGAAUUGACGGGGUCAUAGCGUUUCCU
rnacentral:rRNA from 1 species